ensembl:lncRNA
UGUGUGUAUAUCUGUGUGUUUGGGGGCGUAUGUGUGUGCUUGUGGGUGUAUGUGGGCUUAUCUGUGUGUUUGUGGGUGUAUGCGAGUGUUUUAAUGGCAUAUAUGUAUGUUUGCGGGUGUUUCUGGGCAUAUGCGUGUGUUUGUGGGUGUAUUUGUGGGCAUGUUUGUGGGUGUAUAUGUGUCCUUGCGGGUGUAUGUGGGCUUAUCUGUGUGUUUGUGGGUGCAUAAGUGUGUUUGUGGGUGUAUGCAGUCGUUUGUGAACGUAUGCGUCUGUCUGUGGUCAUAUCUGUGUGUUUGUGGGUGAAUAUGUGUGUUUGAGGGCUUAUGCAUGCAUUAGUGUGUGUAUGGAUGUGUUUGUGAGCAUAUACAUUUGUUUGUGGGUGAAUCCGUGUGUUUGUGGGCGUAUGUGUGUGCUUGUGGAGGUAUGUGUGUUUUGUGGGUUCAUGCAUGUGAUUGUGGGUGUAUCUACCCGUGAAUGGCACUGGAAGCCGGCGUACAGCAGCAGGGCGGUGGGCAGCAGAAUGAGGCUGAAGACCAGGACCAUCAGCACCACACACCCCGUCAGCAGCAGGACGUUCCACAGCAGCAGAAGCAGCGUCCACAGCACACACCCGCAGUGGCCCCGCCGGGCCCCCCAGACCCCGCCGUCACACUGAGCCGGAGGAGGAGGCAGCAUCUGGAUCCCGUCACCCGCGUCAAAGUCUUCAUCACCUUCACCAUCAUCUAACAGCACCGUCAUACCACACAUCCUAAACACAUUAUACAUUUAAUAUAACACAAAAUAUGAUAUAUUAAACAUAUUUAAAUAUCAAAUACAGUCACCUUCAACAUUUCUCACAUUAUAUCAC